GUAGGCGGGGUAACGGCCCACCUAGUCAGCGAUGGAUAGGGGUUCUGAGAGGAAGGUCCCCCACAUUGGAACUGAGACACGGCCCAAACUCCUACGGGAGGCAGCAGUGAGGAAUAUUGGUCAAUGGGCGCGAGCCUGAACCAGCCAAGUAGCGUGAAGGAUGACUGCCCUAUGGGUUGUAAACUUCUUUUAUAAAGGAAUAAAGUGGUCCACGUGUGGAUUUUUGUAUGUACUUUAUGAAUAAGGAUCGGCUAACUCCGUGCCAGCAGCCGCGGUAAUACGGAGGAUCCAAGCGUUAUCCGGAUUUAUUGGGUUUAAAGGGAGCGUAGAUGGAUGUUUAAGUCAGUUGUGAAAGUUCGGGGCUCAACCCCGGAAUUGCAGUUGAUACUGGAUAUCUUGAGUACAGUUGAGGUAGGCGGAAUUCGUGGUGUAGCGGUGAAAUGCUUAGAUAUCACGAAGAACUCCGAUUGCGAAGGCAGCUUACUAAGCUGUAACUGACAUUGAGGCUCGAAAGUGUGGGUAUCAAACAGGAUUAGAUACCCUGGUAGUCCACACGGUAAACUAUGGAUACUCGCUGUAGGCGAUACACAGUCUGCGGCCAAGCGAAAGCAUUA
rnacentral:rRNA from 1 species